rnacentral:lncRNA from 1 species
UGAGACUCCAAUUUUAGGAUAUAUGGCACAUCUGUCUUUGCUGUAUUGGUAAGUUCAGUAGCUCCUACAGCUCCAUGAACAGUUACAUCCCCAUCAGGAAGGCAGAGCUCAAAUUCUUCCAGAGGCCUCUGUCCAGCUUCUCUUGCUUCUGCAUCAUAAAUGAGCACUUUUGUUCCUUCCAGGACAAUAUACUUCCUGUCCCAGCCCUGUUGCCCACGUUUAUUAUUCCUUGGCACUUUCAUCCAC